rnacentral:siRNA from 1 species
AGGCGAAACUUAGAGGUCGCC